rnacentral:rRNA from 1 species
UACGUAGGGUGCAAGCGUUAAUCGGAAUUACUGGGCGUAAAGCGUGCGCAGGCGGUUGUGCAAGACAGAUGUGAAAUCCCCGGGCUCAACCUGGGAAUUGCAUUUGUGACUGCACGGCUAGAGUGUGUCAGAGGGGGGGUAGAAUUCCACGUGUAGCAGUGAAAUGCGUAGAGAUGUGGAGGAAUACCGAUGGCGAAGGCAAUCCCCUGGGCCUGUACUGACGCUCAUGCACGAAAGCGUGGGGAGCAAACAGG